rnacentral:rRNA from 1 species
AUUGAACGCUGGCGGAAUGCUUUACACAUGCAAGUCGAACGGUAGAGGGGGCAACCCCUUGAGAGUGGCGAACGGGUGAGUAAUAUAUCGGAACGUGCCCAGUCGUGGGGAUAACGUAGCGAAAGUUACGCUAAUACCGCAUACGAUCUACGGAUGAAAGCGGGGGACUCGCAAGAGCCUCGCGCGAUUGGAGCGGCCGAUAUCAGAUUAGGUAGUUGGUGGGGUAAAGGCUCACCAAGCCAACGAUCUGUAGCUGGUCUGAGAGGACGACCAGCCACACUGGAACUGAGACACGGUCCAGACUCCUACGGGAGGCAGCAGUGGGGAAUUUUGGACAAUGGACGCAAGUCUGAUCCAGCCAUUCCGCGUGCAGGAUGAAGGCCCUCGGGUUGUAAACUGCUUUUGUACGGAACGAAACGGUGAGCUCUAAUACAGUUUGCUAAUGACGGUACCGUAAGAAUAAGCACCGGCUAACUACGUGCCAGCAGCCGCGGUAAAGUG